CCGGGACGUACGCGACCUACGGCCUGGCCGAGUACGAAGACGGGAAUACGGCGUACGUAAUCGCAGGUCGACGCGAUACUGCGGUGAAGUCGUUACCGGGCCGUUGUACCGUACACCGUCGAACGCGCCGUCGACUCGUAGUCCAGCGGUUAGGUACCGGGCGACGACUAGGAGACUACGGCACGGGAGAACCGUAGGAGGAAGGUGGGGAUGACGUCAAAUCAUCACUGCCCCCUUAUGAUUGGGCUACACACUGCGUACAAUGGCGUAAACAACGGGAACGCGAACCCGUGAGGGGAAGCCAAAUACCUCAAAAAUAACGUCUCAGUUCGGAUUGUAGUCUGCAACUCGACUACAUGAAGCUGGAAUCGCUAGUAAUCGCGAAUCAGCAUGUCGCGGUGAAUACGUUCCCGGGUCUUGUACACACCGCCCGUCACACCAUGGGAGUCGGAAAUACCCGAAGUCAGUGACCCAACCGUAAGGAGGGAGCUGCCGAAGGUAGAGCCGAUAACUGGGGUGAAGUCGUAACAAGGUAGCCGUAUCGGAAGGUGCGGCUGGAUCACCUCGUCGACGCGGCCG
rnacentral:rRNA from 1 species